GAUGAAGAACGUAGCGAAAUGCGAUAAGUAAUGUGAAUUGCAGAAUUCAGUGAACCAUCGAAUCUUUGAACGCACAUUGCGCCCGGCAGUAAUCUGCCGGGCAUGCCUGUCCGAGCGUCAUUUCUGCCCUCGAGCGAGUCCAGCAUCUAGGUGCUGGGCCCGCCCGGCGUUGGGGCACUACGGGAAGCCCUGUGCUGUCUCCCGUAGGCCCCGAAAUGAAGUGGCGGUCCUGCCGCGGCGCCCCCUGCGUAGUAUAACAGCUCGCUUCGGGACCCGGUGGAGGCCUGCCGUCAAACCUUACUCUCUAAGUUUGACCUCGGAUCAGGUAGGGUUACCCGCUGAACUUAAGCAUAUCAAUAAGCGGAGGA
rnacentral:misc_RNA from 1 species